UAACGGGAUACUGCGAAGAAAACUCCGAAAUGAUCCUCGUCUACGAGUUUAUGGAGAAAGGUACACUCAAAGAACAUCUAUACGGCUCGAAUCUACCUUCAUUAACAUGGAAACAAAGACUAGAGAUAUGCAUUGGAGCAGCUAGAGGUUUAGAUUAUCUCCACAGUAGUGGCUCAGAAGGAGCAAUCAUUCACAGAGACGUCAAAUCAACAAACAUAUUACUAGACGAGCACAAUAUAGCAAAAGUCGCAGAUUUCGGAUUAUCGAAAAUUCAUAAUCAAGAUGAAAGCAAUAUCAGCAUAAACAUCAAAGGAACAUUCGGUUACUUGGAUCCAGAAUAUCUCCAAACACAUAAAUUAACAGAGAAAUCAGAUGUUUACGCAUUCGGAGUCGUCCUCCUCGAGGUACUGUUCGCGAGACCAGCUAUAGAUCCUUAUCUUCCUCACGAAGAAGUGAAUCUAUCGGAAUGGGUGAUGUUCUGCAAAUCAAAAGGUACAAUCGAUGAGAUCUUAGAUCCGAGUUUGAUAGGUCAAAUUGAGACGAAUUCGUUGAAGAAAUUCAUGGAAAUUGCUGAGAAAUGUUUGAAAGAGUAUGGAGAUGAGAGACCGAGUAUGAGGGAUGUGAUUUGGGAUCUUGAGUAUGUUCUUCAGCUACAGAUGAUGACGAAUCGUCGAGAGGCUCAUGAAGAAGAUAGUACGGCGAUUAAUUCCGGUGGUUCGUUGGUUGCUCCGAGGUUGAUGGUGAGUG
rnacentral:lncRNA from 1 species